rnacentral:lncRNA from 1 species
CUGCGUUUUGUUAAUGAAUGUUCUAAGUAUCGAGCUGGUUUUCGAGGAUAUUCUGACAAUAAUAAAUUUAACUUUUCACUGUUAUUCAAAUUUAAGUCCAGAGAAUAAUUGAUUACGUAGUCCAUUGUAAAAUUGGCAUUCAAUCGGAGAGUGUAGUUCAUUUUCAACAUGUCCGGAGUCGCACAUUCUACAUAUCCGUUGGUAUUCUGGCUCACCAACAAAACGUCCUGUUUCUAAUCUUAGCGGAAGAAUGCCACAUCUAUAUAAAUUAAUCGGUCAUUAUUACGUCUCUCUCUUUAUUCUAAGCUUUGAUGUG